UUUUUUUUUUUUUUCCCUUUUAUUAUUGUGGUUGAAGUAAAAAAGGUUUUCACUGCCUUUUGCAAUGGCAUGAUUAUGUACUGUGCUUUAAGUGUCUUCAAGUGGCUAUUGUGUUCGUGAUUGUUUACCUUGCGGUUUAUGUUCUAUCCUGCAUGAUGAGGUUGAAGAGAUAAUGAGAAACAGCAACGGACUUACCUUAGUGGGCUUUUAAAAUUAAGUUUUUAACUUUUAGAUACUGUUAUCUUUUUCAUAUAUUCUUAUUUAUCAUCCUUGCUGCAAAUUACGGUUCUGUGCUAUGAGAUUUGUAUAGUUGAUAUAUGUGUUAUUGUAAUUAGUUUUAUGCAGUUUACCUUGUGUAUAGUCCUUUGUCAUUGUUGUGUUUUUGGUGACAGAAGCACUCGGGAAUCCACUCCUUGCAGUUUGAUAAGGGACCCAGAA
rnacentral:misc_RNA from 1 species